CAGUCGCCACGGUAAUGCGAAGGGUGCAAGCGUUAAUCGGAAUUACUGGGCGUAAAGCGUGCGUAGGCGGUGAGUUAAGUCUGCUGUGAAAUCCCCGGGCUCAACCUGGGAAUGGCAGUGGAUACUGGCUCGCUAGAGUGUGUCAGAGGAUGGUGGAAUUCCCGGUGUAGCGGUGAAAUGCGUAGAGAUCGGGAAGAACAUCAGUGGCGAAGGCGGCCAUCUGGGACAACACUGACGCUGAGGCACGAAAGCGUGGGGAGCAAACAGGAUUAGAGACCCGUGUAGUCCCUGUCUCUUAUAA
rnacentral:rRNA from 1 species